rnacentral:lncRNA from 1 species
CAAGAUGGGCGACUUGCUCUGAGCCAGGCCCUCCCCCUCCCUGGCUUCUCACAUUCUCCUCCCCCUCGCCCCUUCUGUUUCCCUCCUCUCCGCGCCGCGGUCCUCUCGCCUUCGCUUUGCUUCUCUCCCUCCACCCAGCCCCCACACCUUCCUUUUGUUUCCAGUUUCUCUUCACCCUCCCCACUUUUCUUUUCCCCUACCCUCCGUUUCCCCCUCUUCCUUUCCUCGUUUCCCCCACUUGCUUCGGGUCGUCCCAGGCCACCCCGCCUUUCAACCGUCCUAGCGCUCCAAAGGCGUCGGGAGCCCCCGCCUCCUCGCCUCUCCUCUCGGUUCCCUGGUCGGUCGGAAGAGAGGAGCCGCAUAUGCACAAAACAUGACAUGGAAAAUGGGCACUUCAACCUCUGGGAACAAAGACUCCUUCCUGCUUUGGCUUUACUGCAAGGGCAUUUUAUGGGAAUGGUUGAAUAUAGCUGUUUUUUUGUUUGUUUGUUUGUUUGUUUGUUUUUUGUUUUUCCCCAAAAGGAAAACAAAAUGUAUGUUGCAGGAGAUGGGAACAUUUCUAAGACCUGCAGCAGCUAG